rnacentral:lncRNA from 1 species
CUGAAUUUCCAAUCGUUUCCCCAAAAUAUUUAGUUUUUUCCAUCCUCUUCAUUAAAAAUAUCUCAUGUCCUUGAGCUGCACCUCAUGAAGGAGGAACGAGAGUGUCCCUGUUUCUCCUGACACUUCUUAUGGACUGUGUAUCAAGGAACCACCCCUGGGGACCAUCGGGCCUCACACCCUUCUGGAAAACUGACUCUGAUGAACCAAAUUCGAGGUGAGAAGGAGACAAGAGCAGUAACCACAUGAAAAUUACGUGGUUUGUGUUUAAAUCAAGACACCAAAAUCAAAGGCGGCAUGUGACAGACCCUACAUUGUUGCCAGAAUUUACAAAACUGGCCUCUUUUGCCAGGCUGAGAAUCCACAGAGGCUGGCCAGAGAGAAGUCUGAGGAGCAGCCAGGAGCCUCUCCAGUUGUGAUGUGGAAUUUGCAAGAGGAUCCUGGGCCAGGGUCCACAGAAUUGCGUGUGUCCUGCACCAGGCCGUGUCAGCACACCAUGUUUCCUAGCUCUCUGGGAACCCAAACAAAGAAGAGACACCCAUGGCAACCUGAUUGCCAAGCUGUGCCUCCCUCUCAGCCCCCCAGAUCUGGUGUCAUCUUUACAGGCAAAUGAUGCCCGCGUGUGGGAUCUGCAACAGCCAUUUUGCAACCAUGAAGGAUGACCUGCCACCAAAUGGGACAACCUGAGACCUCGGUGACCAGCCCCGCCUCCCUCUGGACUUCUUGCAAAGUGACAUAGUAAGGCCUGCAUUGUUUCAGCCACUUUUCAUUUGAUAAUCCAUUACUUGUAGCUAAGAGCGUUCCAGGCACUAUGCAGGGUACCCACACACCAUGGAUCUGCCCCUAUCCCUUUAAAAUCCAUCCUAUUCAUGGUAACAACAUUCUCUCUCUGUGAUGAAGCUUCAGUAAUGUCGCCUUCCUUGCCUAAAGUUGGUGGGAGUUCCUGUUGAUCUAGCAAUUUGAGCUACAAUUUCCUGGCAGGUCUGGCUUGAAAGAAGAACCUCUCAGGGGAAGCCUGC